UUGUGUUUUGCUUUUCAUUUCCUCCUAUUGUGUCAUUCCCCGCCCUCUUCCUGUGUCCACCUGUGUCUUGUUAGUUAAUCAGCCCCUGUGUAUAUUUAAGCCUGUGUUCUCCUGGUUGGCUUUGUCGGUCCACCCUGUGUUUUCCUCCAGUGGCUCUCCGUGCUUCUUCACCUGCAAGACCAUCUAAGACCUCCACAGCUGAUGGUCUCGACCUGACUGCAGUUUCUAGGAUUAUCAACCACUCAGAUUUGGAUUUGACUGGGAAACCUCCCGGAUAGCCUCAUGUCUUCCCAUCGCAUCCAAGAGAAAAAGGACCAAUUCUCAGACAAAUAGUUUGCAUAAUCUCUUUUCAGGUUCCUCUGUUUGGAGCUCUGGUGUGUUGCUGACCACAGCUCCAUUUACUACCUCUACUAUCUUAUAUACCUUGUCCAAACCCCCAAACCUCUUUGUUCUUUUAGUGUCUCAUCAAUGUACUUUAGUCUGACUUUUGUUUUUGCCAAUGCUUUACUUGGACCUAAAUUGUUUCUGCUAAAUUAAUAUGUCAGUAGGCUUAUCUCGACUGUACAACAAGAGAACUUUAUUGGCAUCAAGUGGACCAGACUGUCAUCUCACUGGAGCUUAAUGAUUAUUAUAAGCAUCGAAAGUGUUGCAUUUAUAUGUUUUGUUGAGUGUGUAACAGACAUCAAGAUGAUGAACCUUGUAUUCCCAACGGCAUCCAUCUCCAGAGUG